rnacentral:tmRNA from 1 species
GGGGCUGUACCGGUUUCGACGGGGGUCCGGAGACUUACGAAGCCAUCCGUGGACCGUGGCCACGCAAAAAAACGGAAACUAAACUAAACGCAAACGAUAAGUUAGCGCUCGCUGCCUGACGGCAGCUGUCGGCCUUGAGCUGCUCACCACUUAAGCAACCGGCAUCAUGAACGGUGAGGAACUUCACUGCCUAAGCUUUGCGGCGGAGGAAGACUUUAUGAAGCUACUGAACGCGUAAGCCUGUCUUUGGGCGUUCGCGGGAGGGAAUGUCAAAACAAAGACUGUGAUGGGAGAAACGGAAGAGGAAGGGCUUUCGGACAGGGGUUCGACUCCCCUCAGCUCCA